GGAUCCGAUCAUACCAGCACUAAAGCAUCGGAUCCCAUCAGAACUCCGAUGUUAGGCGUGCUUGGGUGAGAGUAGUACUAGGAUGGGUGACCUCCUUGGAAGUCCUCGUGUUGCAUUCC
rnacentral:rRNA from 1 species